AUCCUCAGGGCCAGGAGUUUCACCUUAUGAUUAGGCUUCGGAGGGAUGGAGGAUGUAGACUAUAUUUGGGAUAUUUAUAUUUUAACCUUGUAUCUCUUUCUUUCUUUUUUGGGUACGGCACCUCUUUUUUCUAGGGCUUCCCUGUCUAGGUGCUUUUACUGAGAUGUCUAUUAUAAGAUACAGGUAUGGUCAUGUGACCUGUGCCUGCCUGACUCAUCACAGAUCCCCCAGCUCCCUGACCAGUGAUUUGCCCAGGAAUGUGAACUCCCUCUGCCAGUAAGAAGUGCCUUUUGCCUCCCGCCAUGAUUCUGAGGCCUCCCCAGCCACGUGGAACUGUAACAACUGCACAGAGCCUGUGCUUAAGAUGGCAGGAUCGCAAGACAGAGCAACUGGAGCAAGUCCUCAUUAAGAAGAGCCGCCCGAUGCAUUUGGACUGCGAUGUGUUACGCCCAUGAGAUUUCAGGGUUAAUUUGUUACCUGGCCGUGGCCUAUCCUCUUCCAGCAGAUACAGAGGCUACUGCAGUUUGCAACUUUGCAGAUACCAGCAGAGGAAGAAAAACAUGGGAGACUGCUGCUAACCUAAUGUGGAGACUUAAACUUCAGCCAGACAAAGGCGGAAUCUUAAUAUGGAGGGGCCUGGCUCUGCAGGGAGGUCACCUGAGCUGGCUGGAUUUCAAUCCAGUUACACAGCAAAAGUUACAACCCAAGCUUUGCCGGUGCUGAGCCUUCUACGCUCAGGGAUUCCAAAGCAUUUGAUAAACUCUUUGUUCCAUUGUUUACUGACUUCCUAGUGCUUGUCUUGUUCUGCAGUUAUUUAUUAGUUUACUUAUGAUCUACCCCUCUCUCCCAUCUACCCGCAACCUGAAGGUAAAGUGCAGGAAGUUAGGGCCUUUGCUUUGUAUGCCAUUACAUUCCCCCUCCCCAGGGAAGGGGUUAGCAUGAUGGUAGGAACUGUUCCCUCUUGGUGACGGAUAAGUGACUGGAGCAGAAUCCACUUCUGCUGAGAAGAUCUGGAUGACCACGGAUAAGCAGGAAGGCGUGUAACAUACUGGCAAGUGAGUCAGACAGAAAGAGAGAUGUGGGAUCGAGUAGAAAGAGAGAUGUGGGAUCGAGUCCUGGCAUUGCCCUUUCUAGCUAUUGUGUCCUUGGACAGGUAAUUUAGCUUCCCUGAGUCUGUUUUCCCAUCUGAAAAAUGAAGGUAGUAAUAAUUAUCCUCAUGGGGCUAUUGAAAAAGUUAAAAUAAUACAAGCAAAGCAUUUAAC